rnacentral:rRNA from 1 species
AGUGAACGCUGGCGGUAGGCCUAACACAUGCAAGUCGAACGGCAGCACAGUAAGCGCUUGCUCUUACGGGUGGCGAGUGGCGGACGGGUGAGGAAUACAUCGGAAUCUAAUUUUUCGUGGGGGAUAACGUAGGGAAACUUACGCUAAUACCGCAUACGACCUACGGGUGAAAGCAGGGGAUCUUCGGACCUUGCGCGAUUGAAUGAGCCGAUGUCGGAUUAGCUAGUUGGCGGGGUAAAGGCCCACCAAGGCGACGAUCCGUAGCUGGUCUGAGAGGAUGAUCAGCCACACUGGAACUGAGACACGGUCCAGACUCCUACGGGAGGCAGCAGUGGGGAAUAUUGGGCAAUGGGCGCAAGCCUGAUCCAGCCAUACCGCGUGGGUGAAGAAGGCCUUCGGGUUGUAAAGCCCUUUUGUUGGGAAAGAAAAGCAGCAGGUUAAUACCCCGCUGUUCUGACGGUACCCAAAGAAUAAGCACCGGCUAACUUCGUG